rnacentral:rRNA from 1 species
GGAGCAAACGGGAUUAGAUACCCCGGUAGUCCUGGCCCUAAACGGUGUUCACUUGGUGUGCGGGGAGUCGACCCCCUGCGUGCCGCAGCUAACGCGAUAAGUGAACCGCCUGGGAAGUACGGCCGCAAGGCUAAAACUCAAAGAAAUUGACGGGGGCCCGCACAAGCGGUGGAGCAUGUGGCUUAAUUCGAUGCAACGCGAAGAACCUUACCUGGCCUUGACAUGCUGGUAGUAGGAGCUAGAAAUAGCGACGAGCCUCGCAAGAGGCGAGCCAGCACAGGUGCUGCAUGGUUGUCGUCAGCUCGUGUCGUGAGAUGUUGGCUUAAGUGCCGCAACGAGCGCAACCCUUGUGUUUAGUUGCCCGCGCAAGCGGGAUCUCUAAACAGACUGCCUGGCUUUAAACCAGGAGGAAGGUGGGGAUGACGUCAAAUCAGUAUGGCCCUUACGGCCAGGGCUGCACACGUGCUACAAUGCUCGGUACAGAGGGAUGCAAGACCGCGAGGUGGAGCAAAUCCCGCAAAACCGAGCCCAGUUCAGAUUGAAGGCUGCAACUCGCCUUCAUGAAGCCGGAAUCGCUAGUAAUGGCGCAUCAGCUACGGCGCCGUGAAUACGUUCCCGGGCCUUGUACACACCGCCCGUCACAUCAUGGAAGCUGUCUGCACCCGAAGUCGCCACGCCAACCGCAAGGAGGCAGGCGCCGAAGGUAUGGACAGUGACUG